CGCACGGGUGAGUAACACGUAUCCAACCUGCCGUCUACUCUUGGACAGCCUUCUGAAAGGAAGAUUAAUACAAGAUGGCAUCAUGAGUCCGCAUGUUCACAUGAUUAAAGGUAUUCCGGUAGACGAUGGGGAUGCGUUCCAUUAGAUAGUAGGCGGGGUAACGGCCCACCUAGUCUUCGAUGGAUAGGGGUUCUGAGAGGAAGGUCCCCCACAUUGGAACUGAGAUACGGUCCAAACUCCUACGGAAGGCAGCAG
rnacentral:rRNA from 1 species